rnacentral:snRNA from 1 species
UCGGGUAAAGCCAAUGAUU